UACCUGCAGCUCGAGUGGUAACCGCUAUUAUUGGGCCUAAAGCGUCCGUAGCCGGUUUGGUAAAUAUCUGGGUAAAUCGUGAGGCUUAACUUCACGAAUUUCGGAUAGACUGCCAGACUUGGGAUCGGGGGAGGUCAGAGGUACUCCAGGGGUAGCGGUGAAAUGUUGUAAUCCUUGGAGGACCACCGGUAGCGAAGGCGUCUGGCUAGAACGAGUCCGACGGUGAGGGACGAAGCCCUGGGGCGCAAACCGGAUUAGAUACCCGGGUAGUCCAGGGUGUAAACAAUGUGGGCUUUGUAUUGGAGGUCCCACGUGGGCGUCCAGUGCAGAAGAGAAGUUGUUAAGCCCACCGCCUGGGAAGUACGGUCGCAAGGCUGAAACUUAAAGGAAUUGGCGGGGAGCACAGCAACGGGAGGAGCGUGCGGUUU
rnacentral:rRNA from 1 species